AUUAUCAUCACAAUACUCAUAUUUUCUCCCUCUCUUUCUCACACAUGACCACACCCCUUUAUUAUAGGCGAGACUCAUGGGGGGUUAAGAGCUGAAACACACUACAGUCUCUGCCACUCAAUAAAACCAAACUAUUUUUUCCACAUAGGAAGCUUUGUUUAUUGAGAGGAAUGUUGUCUGGCUCGAGGACCCUUUCAUCUUGAUCAAUAUUUGUGAUCAAUGAUGUCAUAGUGUUGUCGGACCAGGCUUCAUUCCCCCCAAU